UACGAAGGGGGCGAGCGUUGUUCGGAAUUACUGGGCGUAAAGGGCGCGCAGGCGGCCUUAGAAGUCAGAUGUGAAAGCCCCGGGCUCAACCUGGGAAUGGCAUUUGAUACUCUGAGGCCGGAGUACGGGAGAGGAGAGUGGAAUUCCCAGUGUAGAGGUGAAAUUCGUAGAUAUUGGGAAGAACACCGGUGGCGAAGGCGGCUCUCUGGACCGUAACUGACGCUGAGGCGCGAAAGCGUGGGGAGCAAACAGG
rnacentral:rRNA from 1 species